GAUGAAGAACGCAGCGAAAUGCGAAACUUGGUGUGAAUUGCAGAAUCCCGUGAACCAUCGAGUCUUUGAACGCAAGUUGCGCCCGAAGCCAUCAGGUUGAGGGCACGUCUGCCUGGGCGUCACAUAUCGUUGCCCAAUGCCUAUUGCAGUGCAAUAGGAAUUUCUAGGGCGAAUGAUGGCUUCCCGUGAGCGUUGUUGCCUCGCGGUUGGUUGAAAAUCGAGUCCUUGGUAGGGUGUGCCAUGGUAGAUGGUGGUCGAGUUAGAACGAUACCGAUCAUGUGCAUGCUCCCCAAAAUAUGGCCUCUAUGACCCACACGCGUCUUUUGACGCUCAUGACGAGACCUCAGGUCAGGCGGGGCUACCCGCUGAAUUUAAGCAUAUCAAUAAGCGGAGGA
rnacentral:misc_RNA from 1 species